AGCCCUGAGCGCGGGCAUAGCCAGCGCAGGGAGCCCUGAGCUCGGGCAUAGCCAGCGCAGGGAGCCCUGAGCUCGGGCACACCCAGCGCGGGCAGCCCUGAGGGCGGGCAUAGCCAGCGCAGGGAGCCCUGAGCUCGGGCACAGCCAGCGCAGGGAGCCCUGAGCACGGGCACAGCCAGCGCAGGGAGCCCUGAGCACGGGCAUAGCCAGCGCAGGGAGCCCUGAGCACGGGCAUAGCCAGCGCAGGGAGCCCUGAGGGCGGGGGGCCGUGAGCACGGGCAUACCCAGGCCGGCCGGGGAGGGCGCGCCGCGGGGCUGUGUGAGCUUCAGGAGGUGUUUCUAAUGCCACACUGGGGGCUCUCGCUCACCCUGACCCCGGCCCAGCGUAGUUCCCGGCUUGCGGUGCAGCCCCUCAGGGUGACCCCGCACGGCCCGGCGCCUGCCCUCGCGAAGGUGUGGCUGCUCCCUGCGGUUUCCUGGAAUCCCACACGAGUCUCUGCAGUCCACGGGGUUUAAAAAAAGUGACAGGAAAAAUCCAUGGAAGAGAAAUCUCUUGAGGCUGUGAAAUAGAAAGACACCACCCUCUGAAGCUCCUGAAGUUUCAUAGCAUACUUUCCUUGAUUUUUAUGCUCUUCCCUGACAUCUGCUCUUGGUCAUUCUUGGUGAGAAAGGAAGAUCAAAAGAAUAGUUUUCGCUACAUUUGGCCUCAUCUGGAUUUUGUGAUAUUAAAGGCUGCCAGAUCUCCUGACUGGGUGAAGAGAACAUCAGAAGAGACUCUUCCUGAACCUCACCAAGCAGUGUGGCCUCAUAAUUUGGCUGUCCAGGCUGAAUGUCUCAAGUAAAGGCUCGUGUGCUAAGAGGAAAUAGUCCAGGUAGAUGCAGAAGGCCUAAUUAUGGUCAACCUAACUGCCAGAAAUGGAGGUGACACCCACAUGUCUCCUUCACUUACUGGCGAUGAUAAAAAAGGAGAUAAACAACUGGAGUUCGUGCAGUUAGGCUUAAUCUUUGUAUGUCAUCAUCGCCGAGCAAAGCCACAGCAGUAGGAAAACAGAGCUGGUUUCUGCUGCUCGUUUCUAACUGACAUUUUUUCACCAGGUUGCUCAUGUAACCUGUGGACUCUUUGAACUUCCCUUUGUACCUACUGUCUUUCACAGUGCGUGGGUACUGCCACGCAGUACUGAGCUGCACUACGUAUGUUCUUUGCCUAUACCCCAGUCCUCAUUUUGCCUCUCUCCCUCGGCGGUUUGAAAUCGGAUUUCAAAACUAUAACGUUAAUACAAAAUAUAAAAAUUGAAAAAUUAAAAAAAAGAGUAACAACAAAGGAAUGCUGAUUUUAAAAACCUUUUAAAAACCUUUUUACUGUACAAUUUGUAACUAAUCUUAUAGUACAGAAAGGAGAAAAGGAAGAAAUAAGGGUAUUUUUAAAUCUUUUUUGUAUGUGUAUGGUUGUUUGGGCUUAAAUCUCAUGAAAUAACCACAGAACCUUCAUCCUUCCAAAAGCUACUUUUAUUGAAGGAAAUUCAUCAGAGCUCCAGUUCAAACCAAUGCAUCUCUAGCUGCUGGAAAAAAGCUCUGGAGUUGCUUAACUCCACUUUUUCUGCAGUCAGCCAUUCAGCCAUCCUUCCUUUCCAGCCAGUUUGCUUGUCCACUGCCCUUUGAAUAUAAUUUGUGCUUUAUCCCAAGGUUUUCUUGGGAGUUGACAGUGCACCCAAGUCCACACACAGGACCUAACCUGACUUUCACCAUCAAUGCAGUUUAUUUCUCAAUGAUGCAGAGCAGCCUAAGCAGUAAAAAGUACUUCUUGAGGCAAGAAGGGCUAGGAUGUUUUUAAUAGUUGUUUCUAGUAGUUGGCUAGGGAGAGGCAGAAGUCUGGGUUGUGUAGUGAAUCCUGCAGCUGGUUUGUUCGUUUCCAUUCCCUGAGGGACUGUUCCAGACCUUCACUGAAGUGGUUUCAGAGUGGUUUCUCAUUUAACCCCUUUUGCUUCUCCCGUCCUUACUUGUGGAUUGCUCCAUCACAGAGUUGGACUUGAAAGUGUCAACAGUGUGUGUCUGCAGC